GCGGGCACAGGCGGAGGAAGACUCUCAUGUCAUGAUCUGUGGAACAGCCCAACCCCCCAGGGUAGCCCGUGUACAAAAUAGUUAACUCCUUUGCCUUUGAGGAUAUUAAUACAGCUCUUCCACGCUUCCUUAAGACUUGGAUGGGUCCAUAGAUCAGUAUUUAUUAUGCUGUCCAGGGCAAAUGCAUCCUCGUGCUAAUGGCAAGAGGGGAGCUCACAGAAUUUCCAAACCUGGACACUAGUUGGUGACCUAGUAGCCAAAGAAUGUGUCUAGACUAGAUCUUGAUAAGAUAAUUCGUAUUCAAAUACGAGUUACUCUUGAUCUCCAAGUCUCCCCCCUCCCCUUGCCUCUAUCUUAUCUUUUUUGGCAAUACCAGGGAUCAAAGCCAGAGUCUUGUCUAGGAUGAGCACACUUCAGUGGAGGCACAGGGCUGUUGAAACUCUCCAGCGUACAACUACAUCGUCAGUCAUGGAGAUGCCAAGUAACACGCUGACACUGAGUGAGUGCCACCACCCCCCACCCCCGGAUUCCAGGGCCAUCCAUCAGAGGUUUCUGCAUGUCUCUGCAGCCACAUGAUAGUGGCCGCUAGAAAAUCAGCUGUACUAUAUGCUAUCUAGCAACUCUCAGCAAGAAAGAAACACUUACAUCUAUAUCCUCCCUACACCCAGGGAAAAUGAGUGGCAGUCUCAAUCUCCAUAGAAUAUGGCAGAGCAACUGGGCAAGCAGCAGCAAGGCUCUGCAGCACAGGGCAGGGCUGAGAAGAACAACCGUAAGGCCAACUCCUCCUACCCUUCCAGAACUAUCUCCAGACACACACUCUCACUCUGGCUUCAUUUCAGUGGCCGCGUAUUAUGAAGAAACUUCCUGUGCUGCCACCCACAUCCUUAUCAGCGGCACAUUGAACACAAUCACCACCACGCUGGUGCCUGCACGCAAAAGAUACCUUCACUUAUUACAUACGACUUUUCAAGCCUUAGCGGGAACUGGAAACAUUCACAGAACACCUUGACCUUUAGAGUCUGGUAUUCCCAAGACAAUGCCCAGCCCAUCGUGCACAAAGCUGAGACUACCAACAUCAAUGUCAUUUUCUGUCUUAGUGUUCAGCUUCCUCUGACCCCGUCAGUCUUCUUCCAGCCCCCUCUUUCCCGGUCCUACCUAGCUUUGCCAAUGACCCACUGAAAACCAUGAUUGAACCAGACUGCUCUCCUCUUCUCACUUUGCUCUUCUUCAAGAAGGAGGAAGUCAUUGGAGAAGAGGCAAGGAAGGUGACCUGAUGGAACUGUUCCAAGAGACUCAGUGCCUGAGACUGCUACAUGCUCAGAGGUGCCCUCCAGAAAUUUCAUUAAAGACAAUGCAGAUAGAUGUACCUGGGGGAUAGCCUACCUUUGCAUGAAGCCCAGGGUCCAAGGCUAGUCAUAUUCAGAGAAAGCCUACUGUUGAAUGGCCAACAGCUGCCCCACCGUGAGAGCAGGAUGCUUCCCCAGGCCCUAGGAGGUGGGCAACAUCUCCAGAAAAAGAAUCUAAGCGCCCUCUAACAAGGAUGGGGAUACAUGGGUGUAUCAGGUUUGCCUCUCUCUAGAUUCCUUGGCUUUCCCUCUUCAUAUCACUCUACAAAAAAAAAAAAAAAAAAAAGCACGUCCUUGGCUCAUCAGAUAACACAAUGGGGACAGUCUGGGAAAAUAAACAGAACACCUGGAAAUCUCCCCUCUUGGACCUCUUAGAGUAACAAGCUAAACUGGGCAGCUGUUGCUGGGGCCAGCAAUGGCACAGGUAUCAAGGUUGGGGUGGAGGUUUCCCGUGUCCAUUGCUGCAGCAGCUGCCAUUCAAAGCCUUCCACCCAAGCAGCUGCUCAAACAGUGGCUCUCAAUCUUGUGGGUCAUGAGCACUUUGGAGGACUGCGAAUCAGAUACUUACAUUACGAUUGAUGACAGUAGCAAACUUACAGUUAUGAAGUAGCAACAAAAAUAAUUUCAAGGUUGGGGGGGGGGGGCGGUCACCAAACAGGAGAAACUGUAUUAAAGGAUCACAGCAUUAGGAAGGUUGAGAACCACUGUGCUCAAAGAGCACAUGUGAGGUUUUGAGCCUUUCCAUUAGGUAUUAUUUAUUGCUAUAGUUUCAAGUAUACAUUGUAUCAGAACGUUAUUCUUUUGGUUUUCCUUAGGGUCUUGUUCUUUUGGUAUUUCCAAGAGCUUUGCUACCAUCUAACCAGGUCUCUCAAGCAAAGAAAAUGAGUCAGCAGGGGAGACUGACAGCCAGGCCCCAAUCACAGUGCUGGUGUUGAAUGGCCAUGAAGCGAGCAGGUCUGGGGACUCAGUGAACAGGGACGUCUGUCUUCUUGUCCGAUUCAUUUAUACUCAAUCCUCUUCGCACUUGCACCACCAGAGAAAACACUAAAUCAGCCUUUAGAAAGCAAAGAAAUGCCAGGUUCCAGCUGCAGCAACUCUGCUCCUACUUGGAUGUGGUUUCUUCUCAACUGAGCUGAAGAGAAGCAGAGCCCUGGGCUUUUAUAGCGUUCUCACACCACAAUCCUUCACACAGAACAGAACAGCAUCCCCAGUAAUAAAUUUUAAACUAAUUAAAUUCUCAAUUGGCUAGGAGAAGCUCUCUCCAGCCUUGGAGUAAAUCUCCCUAUGCAUUUCUGGAAAUUCUAUUUAAUGAGGCGACACAGAAUAUUUUCCAGCCUGACGUCAGACAUUUCCAAAGCCCCCUGCCUUGGCAGCCUGGUUGGCCAUUGCUUCUGAUGUCUUCUCAUUGGUGCUGCCCCCCACUGGCUUCUGUAAACCUUUCCCACAUGGUGUCAAAAGGUGGUUCCCUGAAGACACAACACCUCAGAGAUCCCAGCAGAGUAUUUCCAGUCUCCCUGGAGGUCAGAACAUCUUGUACAUUAUAUGGUAUAUGGUCCUAUUUGAAAGCACAAUUUUUUUUUUAAAUGUAAUAAAAAUAAACUACAGAAACUCAAAAAAAAAAAAAAAAAAAGCACCUUGUUUGCUAGUGCUUGCCAGAGAGGAUGAUGUAUCAAGCCAUUCUGGGCCCGAGUCCAUCUGUAUGCAGAGCUUGCAUGCUGUGCACAAGUUCUCCACAGCCUCCUCCCCAAUGAAAUACCUUUCCAGUAGAAGAUGGAAGCAGACUGUAUCUCAUCCCCUGCAAAGUGGUUAGAGUCCCCCUUCCUUUCCACUAAUACAGACCUACUCCAGAAGAUGAGGACACAGGAGGCCCAAGUCCCCUGUCCAGUGCUAUUCUACCAUCCUUGUCUGUCUUGUUACUGCCAGUGAGAGCCCAUGCAACAGUUUAAUCUGGAAAAUGUCAACUGACGCUUGACGCUUACCGAAUAUAAGGCUAACUCAGAAGCGAGGACUCUGUGAGGAAUCAGCUGCCCUGCAAACUGACACUCGAUGAGGGAAAGAGGCUGGCCGACAAGUGAACACUCACUUGGGCAAGAUCCGUGAAGUGUCGAGUACUGGGCCAUACGAAGUCAGAUCACCUCUAAAUUACAGGAGUUGGAAUCCAUCUCUAUAUUCUGCAACUCUAAGUGGCAUGACUGAUUAAAGUUGGGUCAGCACACCCACUCAGCUUUUGUGUGCUACAAGAACGAUAUGAAGACAACAGAAAACAAGUCUAAGAGGAUGCAAUUUUAUCGACAGGAAAAUUAUCACCUGGAAGGAAAAGGAGAUGGUUAUGAUUCUCUGUUUGGAUAGAAAUGAGUCCGUGCAACCUCUGGUUUACUGCAGGUACAAGCUGUGAGGACUGUGCCACACGCUCAGAUGACGGCUCUGCUCCAGGACAAUCAGCCAGGAAAAGGUUGAGAAUUCCCCGUGGGUCACCAAGGAACGUCCGUCCACCUGCCUCGUGCUCCUGCAGAAGCUCAUUGCCUAGGCCACUCAGUUGGCGUUGGGACAAGACACUAAGAAUUCUUCUCCCUGUAGCUGGGGAGACAGAGCCAGCAGGAGUAGAGAGCUAAUGUAGAGGACUGUGACCACAGUGUGCUGUAUACUCACAGGAGAUUGUCAAAGGUGAAAACUGAUUUUUUAAAAUUUUUUAUUGGAUAUUUUAUUUAUUUACAUUUCAAAUGGUAUCCACUUUCUCUGUUUCCCCUCUGGAAAACCUCUAUACCAUUCCCGCUCACCAUAAAGAUUUUUUUCUAUUUG